UACAGAGGGUGCAAGCGUUAAUCGGAAUUACUGGGCGUAAAGAGCACGUAGGUGGUUAUUCAAGUUGGAUGUGAAAGCCCCGGGCUUAACCUGGGAAGGUCAUCCAAGACUGUAGGACUAGAGUAUAGUAGAGGGAAGUGGAAUUUCCGGUGUAGCGGUGAAAUGCGUAGAUAUCGGAAGGAACACCAGUGGCGAAGGCGACAUCCUGGACCGGUAUUGACGCUGAGGCGCGAAAGCCAGGGGAGCAAACGGG
rnacentral:rRNA from 1 species